CCUACGGGAGGCAGCAGUGGGGGAUAUUGCACAAUGGGGGAAACCCUGAUGCAGCGACGCCGCGUGGGUGAAGAAGUAUUUCGGUAUGUAAAGCCCUAUCAGCAGGGAAGAAAGAAGACGGUACCUGACUAAGAAGCCCCGGCUAACUACGUGCCAGCAGCCGCGGUAAUACGUAGGGGGCGAGCGUUAUCCGGAUGCACUGGGUGUAAAGGGAGCGUAGACGGCCGUGCAAGCCAGGAGUGAAAGCCCGGGGCCCAACCCCGGGACUGCUCUUGGAACUGUGCGGCUGGAGUGCGGGAGGGGCAGGCGGAAUUCCUGGUGUAGCGGUGAAAUGCGUAGAUAUCAGGAGGAACACCGGCGGCGAAGGCGGCCUGCUGGACCGCGACUGACGUUGAGGCUCGAAAGCGUGGGGAGCGAACAGGAUUAGAUACCCGUGUAGUC
rnacentral:rRNA from 1 species